AGUCGAGCGAGCUUGCCUAUAGAAAUUCUUCGGAAUGGACAUAGAUACAAGCUAGCGGCGGAUGGGUGAGUAACGCGUGGGUAACCUGCCCUUAAGUCUGGGAUACCAUUUGGAAACAGAUGCUAAUACCGGAUAAAAGCUACUUUCGCAUGAAAGAAGUUUAAAAGGCGGCGUAAGCUGUCGCUAAAGGAUGGACCUGCGAUGCAUUAGCUAGUUGGUAAGGUAACAGCUUACCAAGGCGAUGAUGCAUAGCCGAGUUGAGAGACUGAUCGGCCACAUUGGGACUGAGACACGGCCCAAACUCCUACGGGAGGCAGCAGUAGGGAAUCUUCCACAAUGGACGAAAGUCUGAUGGAGCAACGCCGCGUGAGUGAAGAAGGUUUUCGGAUCGUAAAGCUCUGUUGUUGGUGAAGAAGGAUAGAGGUAGUAACUGGCCUUUAUUUGACGGUAAUCAACCAGAAAGUCACGGCUAACUACGUGCCAGCAGCCGCGGUAAUACGUAGGUGGCAAGCGUUGUCCGGAUUUAUUGGGCGUAAAGCGAGCGCAGGCGGAUUGAUAAGUCUGAUGUGAAAGCCUUCGGCUCAACCGAAGAACUGCAUCAGAAACUGUCAAUCUUGAGUGCAGAAGAGGAGAGUGGAACUCCAUGUGUAGCGGUGGAAUGCGUAGAUAUAUGGAAGAACACCAGUGGCGAAGGCGGCUCUCUGGUCUGUAACUGACGCUGAGGCUCGAAAGCAUGGGUAGCGAACAGGAUUAGAUACCCUGGUAGUCCAUGCCGUAAACGAUG
rnacentral:rRNA from 1 species